UCACCGCGUGGUGGGCGGGGGUGCUGCCGCCGCUCGCGGCGGAGGCGCCCGGCCUGUCCGCCGGGACCGGCGGUCCCGGGCCCGCGCAGUGGGC
rnacentral:tRNA from 2 species